rnacentral:rRNA from 1 species
GACGAACGCUGGCGGCGUGCUUAACACAUGCAAGUCGAACGGAAAGGCCUGCUUUCCCUUGUGGAUUGCGGGUACUCGAGUGGCGAACGGGUGAGUAACACGUGAGUGAUCUGCACCCAACUUGGGUAUAAGCCUGGGACACUGGGUCUAAUUCCCGAUAGGACUGCAGGGUGGUGCGUGUGGUGGAAAACGAUUUUCUAGUGGUCGGGGAUGAGCUGGUGGGCUAUCAGCCUGUUGGUGGGGUAAUGGCCGACCAAGGCGGCGACGGGUAGCCGGCCUGAGAUAGCGGACGUCCGCAGUUGGACUGCGACACUGCCCAUACGCCAACGCGCGGCAGCCUUCGGGAAGAAGCCAUGAGGGACAUAACCCUGAGGCAGCGACGCUGCCGCAGCGAUGACGCGCUUCGGGUGGUAACCUUCUUUCUAUAGCGAGGAAUCCACCUGGAUGGAAGGGUAGUGACGGUAGUUGCAGAAGAAGCACCGGCUAACUACGUG